rnacentral:misc_RNA from 1 species
AAGUCGUAACAAGGUUUCCGUAGGUGAACCUGCGGAAGGAUCAUUAACACGUAUCCACGUUAUCAAACCAAUGAGAACCGUUUUCCCGUCUCCCUGCUGCAUGAAAUGAAUUGGAACCAGUUUGAGGGGUUGAUGGGGCUGCAAAGCGCGACCUUCCUGGUACACUGAUGGAUUUAUUCAUCGACAAUUGUAUUUGUGUUCUGCAGGCUAAUUCUUUAUCGCGUUGACUCCCAUCAUAGUCGCGAGCGAUAAGGGAGCCCUUUAAACUAAAUUUACCCCCUUUUUGCUAGUUGACUUUUUAUAUGUGUUGUUCGAAUUGCGUAAUGGCAAUGGCUCGGCACACGUUUAUUAAUUGAACGUUAAAAAAUACAACUCUUAGCAAUGGAUAUCUUGGUUCUC